rnacentral:rRNA from 1 species
AACGAAAAAUAAUUUUUCGUGGCGUACGGGUGAGUAAUACACAGGAAUCUGCCUUUUAGUUCAGGAUAAAAUUCUGAAUAACAAAAGAAAACUUUUCGCUAAAAGAUGAGCCUGUGUAGGAUUAGGUAGUUGGUAUUUGGGUAAAGGCCUACCAAGCCUAUGAUCCUUAGCUGUUCUGAGAGGUUGUACAGCCACACUGGGACUGAGACAAGGGCCAGGCUUCAUUUGGAGCCAGCAGUGAGGAAUUUUGGACAAUGAGCGAAAGCUUGAUCUAGCAAUACUACAUGAGUGAUGAAGGCUUUCAAGUUGUAAAACUCUUUGGUUGAGGAGGAUAAUGACAGUACUCAACAAAAUAGCCCCGGCUAACUUCGUGCCAGCAGCCGCGGUAAUACGAAGGGGGCGAGCGUUAUCCGGAAUGACUGGGCGUAAAGGGUCCGUAGGUAGUAUUUUUUGUUAGAGGUUAAAUAAAAAAGCUUAACUUUUUUCCGCUUCUAAAACGUAAAUGCUUUGAGUUUGAUAGGAGAUAGCAGAAUUUCACAUGGAGGGGUGAUAUCCGUAGAUAUGUGAAGGAAUACCAGAGGCGAAGGCGGCUAUCUAGAUCAAUACUGACGUUGAGGGACGAAAGCAUGGGGAGCAAACAGGAUUAGAUACCCUGGUAGUCCAUGCCCUAAAAGAUGAGUGCUCGUGCUUAGAUAUUUUUAGGCACUUAGUUAACACGUUAAGCACUCCGCCUGGGGAGUACGACCGCAAGGUUGGAACUCAAAGGAAUUGACGGGGGCCUAUACAAGUGGUGGAGCAUGUGGUUUAAUGCGACAAUACGCGCGAAACCUUACCAGUUCUUGAUAUAAAAAAGAAAAAGUUAGAAAGGACAAUUUUGAAGAUUUUUAUAGUGCUGCAUGGCUGUCGUCAGCUCGUGUCGUGAGAUG